GUGGCAUAGUGGUUAGAGCAUCCGCCUCGGAUGCGGAAGGUUAUGGGUUCAAUCUUUGGUCGAGUCACACCA